UGUGUGUGUUGGUUUUACCGAUGCUCCGAGGACGCGAGUGUAUAAAAACACCUUUACUCCGAGGACGUAAAUUUCUCCCGAGGACUUUUUUCGGGUCCUCGGAAAGAUUCUGUCCCAAUCAACUCAAAAUGACGAAAUAUAUCAUGUGGUGAAAUUUGGUGAAAGUCCUCAGAAGGUCGGUAAAAUGUGAAUGUGCGUUUCCCGGUCACACAGUUUUAUCGGACGCCAUAACACACACUUGUUGUUUUCGAUGCGCGCGCAUCUCGGCGGCGGAAGUGAUGAUCAAUCAAGAUCUCUGGAGGUCGUAAAACGCCGCCACUGUCCAGCGGGAGAGAAAACUGUCAGUUGACCAUAGCAUCACAAGUUACUGUGGCUUCUGGUUAUUUUAAAAGUGAAAAUCAUGAAGAACUUUCGUGUAUUAUUUAGGGAUGGAGGACGGGUGCCAUGUUUACAUUCGCAACGAACAUAAGCAGACCAGUCUAUUUGUUUUCUGGGGGAUAUGACGAUAGGACCAUAUCUAUAGCUGUGUGAUGGGAGGUGAAUUUCAUCAUGACCUGAUGAUGGAAGAAGUAUAAUUGACAGAGUAUCAUGGAAUCCUUGUAACCAACCUUUUCUUGUUGAUGUGGAUUUUUUAAAUUAAGGAAACUGACUAAAAAAAUUACAUGCUGAAGGAUCAAGAAAAUGAUUCCAAUAAAAGAACUAAAAAGCCAUUUCACCAGUUAAAAGUGUGGAUGAUAUUCAGUGUGUUCAAAAAGUUGAAUAUAUAUAUACACAAAAAUGCAUUGAUUAGGAUGCAAAUUUGAUACAGAUUUAAGAAUCAUACAGUGUCAAGAUUCAUCAAUAGUGUGAAACAAUUUAUCAAUAAUAUGGCAACAUGCGACUGAUAUUGGAUUAGACA